UGAUAGCCAGUCGUUAGAUCU
rnacentral:piRNA from 1 species